rfam:Ipomoea nil DNA, scaffold: scaffold0239, cultivar: Tokyo-kokei standard.
GUCAAUAUGUCUAAGUGGUUAAGGAGAUAGACUCGAAAUCUAUUGGGCUUAUUGCCG